UCAGAAGAGGCUACUACUAGCUAUCUAGCUUCAUGUUUAACUCUUCUUGGUUUGUGUUUUUGUGUGCUUGUUGGAGUUGUUAGGAGGAAGAGAGGGGUGAGAGGUGAGGCUGACAGAAGAGAGUGAGCACACAUGGUGACUUUCUUGCAUGCUGAAUGGACUCAUGCUUGAAGCUAUGUGUGCUCACUUCUCUCUCUGUCAGCCAUUUGAUCUCUCUUUCUCUCUUUCUCCCUCAUGUGUUAUACUGUUCUCUCAUAUCUAUCUUCUUUGAGGUAGUAAUAUACUUGAGCAAAUUAAGCUGCUUAAUUAUUUGUGUAUGAUGAUCAGCUGCUGAUCCGGCCUCAUUUCUUGCAUAUAUGAGAUCAGUUUCAACCACAACCACAUACAUGCUUGUUCAUUUUUUUUCACAAAGAAAGAGAACAGUUUAAUUUAAUUUCUUGGGGUUUUUGGAUCAGUUAAUUUGUCUUGAGAGGGGAAGAGAUCUCUAUGGGUUUUGGAGGUCUGACAGAAGAGAGUGAGCACACACGGUGCUUUCUUAGCAUGCAAGAGCCAUGCUGGGAGCUGUGCGUGCUCACUCUCUAUCUGUCAGCCGUUCACCAUGCCCAAUAUGAUUAAUCUCCUUCUCUCAGUUGACAGUAAUUUCUUUGCCAGAUCUCCUGUUAAAUUUUCUGCCUAGCUAGCUAUUAUGCACAUGCUUAUUAUGAUGAGCCUGCCAAUAUCAUCUCCAAGGCAAAACACAAACUAGCUAUGAUUUGAUUCAUUAUAUUUCUUUUCGCUGUUUAAUUAAUUAUAUGCAG
rnacentral:precursor_RNA from 1 species